rnacentral:rRNA from 1 species
GACGAACGCUGGCGGCGUGCUUAACACAUGCAAGUCGAACGGAAAGGCCCUGCUUGCAGGGUACUCGAGUGGCGAACGGGUGAGUAACACGUGGGUGAUCUGCCCUGCACUUCGGGAUAAGCCUGGGAAACUGGGUCUAAUACCGGAUAGGAGCCAUUUUUAGUGUGAUGGUUGGAAAGUUUUUUCGGUGUAGGAUGAGCUCGCGGCCUAUCAGCUUGUUGGUGGGGUAAUGGCCUACCAAGGCGGCGACGGGUAGCCGGCCUGAGAGGGUGGACGGCCACAGGCGGAGGGAGACACGGCCAGGGCUGCUGCGGGGGGGAGUGGUGGGGAAUACUGGGCAGGGGGGGGAGGCGGGAGGCAGCGGGGCGGGGGGGGGGAUGCCGGCCUGCGGGUUGUAAAGUGCUUGAGCUGGGGAUGAAGUUGUUUGGGACGGUAAAAAGAAAAGAGGCCCGGGAGAACUACGGCCCAGCAGACGCGGAAGAAGACGAAGAGAACCUGUCAAAGC